rnacentral:rRNA from 1 species
CAGUCGCCGCGGUAAUACGAGGGGGGCAAGCGUUGUUCGGAAUUAUUGGGCGUAAAGGGUGCGUAGGCGGCUUGACAAGUCUUGUGUGAAAUCUAUGGGCUCAACCCAUAGUCUGCACGGGAAACUGUCGGGCUUGAGAAUGGGAGAGGUGAGUGGAAUUUCCGGUGUAGCGGUGAAAUGCGUAGAUAUCGGAAGGGACACCUGUGGCGAAAGCGGCUCACUGGACCAUUUCUGACGCUGAUGCACGAAGGCUAGGGGAGCAAACAGGAUUAGAUACCCCUGUAGUCCCUGUCUCUUAUAC